rnacentral:rRNA from 1 species
CAGUCGCCGCGGGAAUACGAAGGGUGCAAGCGUUAAUCGGAAUUACUGGGCGUAAAGCGCACGUAGGCGGCUUGGUAAGUUAGAGGUGAAAGCCUGGAGCUCAACUCCAGAAUUGCCUUUAAGACCGCCGAGCUAGCAGGUGAGAGAGGUAAGUGGAAUUCCGAGUGUAGCAGUGAAAUGCGUAGAGAUGUGGAGGAACACCGAUGGCGAAGGCAGCCCCCUGGGCCAAUACUGACGCUCAUGCACGAAAGCGUGGGGAGCAAACAGGAUUAGAUACCCGCGUAGUCCCUGUCUCUUAUAC